CUGGCAUUUUCUCUGUUAAAUAAAAUGUUUUAAAUAUUGCUGUAUAUUGAGAUAGUGCAAUUAUUCUGAUAUUUAAACUAUAUACAAAGCUAAAUACAAUUUUUAUAUGUUAUGUUUAAAAAGAAAGUACAGUGUUAGGAACAUAGUGCAGACUACGAUGCCUGAAUUGUCAGAAAACCAGUGUGUGUGCUCAGCUGAGACAAGGAAAGCAAGGGCAUUUUGUGGUGUAAUUAGCAGUAGUUGGAAAGUAGGACUCUACUUUUGAAAAAAGUUUCCACAGUUGGAUUUGAUUAAUCAAAAUUAGCCAUAGUCAUAUUGUUGCUACAGUCUGUUUUCAAAAAUAGCGAUUGCACUGAAAUUGAUUUCAGAGUUAUCAGGAGAGAUGAACAUUUAAAUAUAUGCAAGUCUGUGAAGCUGUCUCUGCCUGUGUAGGCUGAUUUUAAUAGACACAACUUCUGUGUUUAGCUAUAAGCUCUGGAUAGAAGGCUGUUUAUUAUGUGGGCACUUAUUUUUGGGUUGUCUCAAUAUGCAUCUUUCAGCAAAUAUACCUAUUUCUUGAAGAAAAAAGAAAAAAGAGAAGGUGAUCAGUGCACGAAUGAAGAGUUUCAUAGGAGCCAGAAGGCAAACACAGGAAAGUAAAUCCAGCCUACUGGAUUACAACAGAGUGUGUUUACGAACAUCUGAAGAAGUGGUUGCUUCGGUGCAAUUUCUCCCAGUGUCAUGAGAAUAGCAGCAACGUGUGCAAAGUAAGAAGACUUCCUGCGGCCUGUGAGUACUCCUGUGUGACAAACUGGAUUGUCACAGACUCAAUAGGAAGGUGCACAACAGUUAAGUAUUUCUUGGAUUUCCUCCUGAUAGCAUUUUACCAAGUGAUCUUAACUGAAUGGUGCAACCAGAUCAGAGGAGGAGUGAUUUUUCUUGUCUCAGUCCAUCAAGAUCUCUGAAAUUAUUUGGGUAUGUGGAGAAACAGUAACUAUACAGUGCUUUAGUACAGACGUCUUCCUCUUCUCUGCCAGAAUAGUUUCCUCAGAGCUUUUUGCCACUGGCUUUUUGACCCACUGUUGUAGCAAAACAGCUAGUGAAGAUAAUGCCUAAAAAAGUAUCUAUCCCUGCUUGUGGGGCCACAGCACUGCCUAACAAUGCUACUUCAAAGUGUUUCCUCACAUAUACAGGUCGCUAGUCCAGUGUUCUGCAGUUUGGAAUAGGUCUACAAUGGUUUGUGCAAAUUCUUCUAUGUUCAUUUUUUAGUCACAGUAAAAGUAGCUAGAUUUUUCUAUUAUUUUUGUUUUCCUAUGUUGUAUUUUAAUAGCUUUUUUAUUAGCUUUAUUAUCAUUCCCAUCAUUCAGUUCUUAGUAAUCUUCCCCACCCUUCAUGCCAUAGCAUUUCACACAAUCCGUUAAUCUUGCAUAUGAAAAGCCAAUGGACAUAACUGUAAAAUAAGAUUCCAUGUGAGGAAAAAUUUUCCAGAAAAGAAAAAACAAAAACAAAAACACAAUUAAUUAGAAAGAUAGUAAGAAGUAAUUUUAACAAAAUAUUAUUUGUAAAGCAAUCUGCAUGGGAAAG
ensembl:lncRNA